rnacentral:rRNA from 1 species
UACGAAGGGGGCUAGCGUUGCUCGGAAUCACUGGGCGUAAAGCGCACGUAGGCGGAUCUUUAAGUCAGGGGUGAAAUCCUGGAGCUCAACUCCAGAACUGCCUUUGAUACUGGGGAUCUCGAGUCCGGGAGAGGUGAGUGGAACUGCGAGUGUAGAGGUGAAAUUCGUAGAUAUUCGCAAGAACACCAGUGGCGAAGGCGGCUCACUGGCCCGGUACUGGACGCUGAGGUGCGAAAGCGAUGGGG